rnacentral:rRNA from 1 species
CCUACGGGGGGCUGCAGUGGGGAAUAUUGCACAAUGGGCGCAAGCCUGAUGCAGCCAUGCCGCGUGUGUGAAGAAGGCCUUCGGGUUGUAAAGCACUUUCAGCGGGGAGGAAGGCGUUAAGGUUAAUAACCUUGGCGAUUGACGUUACCCGCAGAAGAAGCACCGGCUAACUCCGUGCCAGCAGCCGCGGUAAUACGGAGGGUGCAAGCGUUAAUCGGAAUUACUCGGCGUAAAGCGCACGCAGGCGGUCUGUCAAGUCGGAUGUGAAAUCCCCGGGCUCAACCUGGGAACUGCAUUCGAAACUGGCAGGCUAGAGUCUUGUAGAGGGGGGUAGAAUUCCAGGUGUAGCGGUGAAAUGCGUAGAGAUCUGGAGGAAUACCGGUGGCGAAGGCGGCCCCCUGGACAAAGACUGACGCUCAGGUGCGAAAGCGUGGGGAGCAAACAGGAUUAGAUACCCUAGUAGUC